CCUACGGGAGGCAGCAGUGAGGAAUAUUGGUCAAUGGUCGGGAGACUGAACCAGCCAAGCCGCGUGAGGGAUGAAGGUACAGAGUAUCGUAAACCUCUUUUGUCAGGGAACAAAGGCGGGGACGUGUCCCCGGAUGAGUGUACCUGAAGAAAAAGCAUCGGCUAACUCCGUGCCAGCAGCCGCGGUAAUACGGAGGAUGCGAGCGUUUUCCGGAUUUAUUGGGUUUAAAGGGUGCGCAGGCGGUCUGUUAAGUCAGCGGUCAAAGCCCGGGGCUCAACCCCGGCCCGCCGUUGAAACUGGCAGUCGCGAGUUGGAGAGAAGUAGGCGGAAUGCGCGGUGUAGCGGUGAAAUGCAUAGAUAUCGCGCAGAACUCCGAUUGCGAAGGCAGCAUGCCGGCUCCACACUGACGCUGAGGCACGAAAGCGUGGGUAUCGAACAGGAUUAGAUACCCUGGUAGUC
rnacentral:rRNA from 1 species